rnacentral:lncRNA from 1 species
UUCCGCCUGUACCCAUUCCCAUCAGCCCUGCUACACUGUCCUGCUCUGAGUUCUGACUACUCUCUGUCUCUAGGGAGGACUUGGCUGAAAUCUCCGAGGCAGGAGAUGAAUCCUGAUGAGAGCCAAAGUUUCUCUGAGGUGGCUCAUGGCCUAGACGCUGCUGCCCAGAACGCUGUGAGUGGGGGAAGGGAAAGUUCCCUUUGGCUAUUGUUGCAGACAGACAGCAGGACACCAGCACACACACUCAGCAGCUGCCCUCGUGGGUAUUUGUUAUAAGGCUGUUGAGCUCCAAGGGCUCCUUUUGGGAGGACCAUGCUGUUCUGGUUCGUCUUGGAGUCUGCGUGUGGGAUUCUUACGGUUCUCUGAUGGACCCAGUCACGCCAGCCAGCAUGGCACAGAAGCAAUGUGCAGUUCAACGGAGAAGAGCCACGGCGCUAUGUGGCUUGUCUCCGGAACGUCCUCAUCUGGGGAACGCCACCUCAGCACCCCCUCAGCGCCCCAAAGCUUCUGUCUGUGGUUGUUUCCUGUGCGAGUACAACUCGGAGCAUUCAAGCUGUUGUACCAGACUCAUCUUGCCCAGUGUCAGAAUCUCUUGUUCAAGACAGGCUGGGUGUGAAGCAUGCCUAUAGUCCUGGCACAUCAGGAGCUCAAGGCCGGUCCAGCUACUUGAGACCCGUGUGAGAGCUUAGAAGGUAAAGGUGCUUGCUGCUGUGCUUGACAGCGUGACGGAAAACAAGAAUGGACCCCUACAUGUUGUUCUUGGAUCUCCAUACAUGUUCCCAUGGACCCCCA